AGGUACCCGUACCGUAAACGGACACACGUAGUCGGGUUGAAUAUACUCAGGCGCUUGAGUGAAUCACGGUUAAGGAACUAGGCAAAUUGACCCUGUAACUUCGGGAUAAAGGGUCCCUACCCGGUGACGGGAGGGCGCAGAGAAUAGGUCCAGGCAACUGUUUAACAAAAACACAGGGCUGUGCAAAAUUGAAAGAUCACGUAUACAGCCUGACACCUGCCCGGUGCUGGAAGGUUAAGAGGAGAUGUCAUCGCAAGAGAAGCAUUGAAUUGAAGCCCCAGUAAACGGCGGCCGUAACUAUAACGGUCCUAAGGUAGCGAAAUUCCUUGUCGGGUAAGUUCCGACCUGCACGAAUGGUGUAAUGAUCUGGACACUGUCUCAACCGUGAGCUCAGUGAAAUUGUAGUAUCGGUGAAGAUGCCGAUUACCCGCGAUGGGACGAAAAGACCCCGUGAACCUUUACUAUAGCUUAACAUUGAAUUUGGGUAAUUGAUGUGUAGGAUAGGCCGGAGACUUUGAAGCAGGCACGCCAGUGUUUGUGGAGUCGCUGUUGAAAUACGGCCCUUUGGUUAUUUGAGUUCUAACUCGCUG
rnacentral:rRNA from 1 species